UACAGAGGUCCCAAGCGUUGUUCGGAUUCAUUGGGCGUAAAGGGUGCGUAGGCGGCGCGGUAAGUCGGGUGUGAAAUCUCGGAGCUUAACUCCGAAACUGCAUUCGAUACUGCCGUGCUUGAGGACUGGAGAGGAGACUGGAAUUUACGGUGUAGCGGUGAAAUGCGUAGAUAUCGUAAGGAAGACCAGUGGCGAAGGCGGGUCUCGUGGACAGUUCCUGACGCUGAGGCACGAAGGCCAGGGGAGGCAAACGGG
rnacentral:rRNA from 1 species